UACGUAGGGUGCGAGCGUUAAUCGGAAUUACUGGGCGUAAAGGGUGCGCAGGCGGCGUCGCAAGUCAGGCGUGAAAUCCCCGGGCUUAACCUGGGAACUGCACUUGAAACUACGAUGCUAGAGUAUGGGAGAGGGAGGUAGAAUUCCACGUGUAGCAGUGAAAUGCGUAGAGAUGUGGAGGAAUACCAAUGGCGAAGGCAGCCUCCUGGCCUAAUACUGACGCUCAUGCACGAAAGCGUGGGGAGCAAACAGG
rnacentral:rRNA from 1 species